GAUGAACGCUAGCGGCAGGCUUAAUACAUGCAAGUCGAGGGGCAGCACGGUUAGCAAUAACUGGUGGCGACCGGCGCACGGGUGCGUAACACGUAUACAAUCUACCUUAAACAGGGGGAUAGCCUUUCGAAGAGAGAUUAAUACCCCGUAAUAAAUUGAACGGCAUCGUUUUGAUUUUGAAAGCUCCGGCGGUUUGAGAUGAGUAUGCGUCUGAUUAGCUAGUUGGUGAGGUAACGGCUCACCAAGGCGACGAUCAGUAGGGGAUCUGAGAGGACUAACCCCCCACACUGGUACUGAGACACGGACCAGACUCCUACGGGAGGCAGCAGUAAGGAAUAUUGGUCAAUGGAGGCAACUCUGAACCAGCCAUGCC
rnacentral:rRNA from 1 species